rnacentral:rRNA from 1 species
UACGAAGGGGGCUAGCGUUGCUCGGAAUGACUGGGCGUAAAGGGCGCGUAGGCGGAUGGCACAGUCAGAUGUGAAAUUCCUGGGCUUAACCUGGGGGCUGCAUUUGAUACUACUGAGCUUGAGUACGGGAGAGGAUAGUGGAAUUCCCAGUGUAGAGGUGAAAUUCGUAGAUAUUGGGAAGAACACCGGUGGCGAAGGCGGCUAUCUGGACCGUAACUGACGCUGAGGCGCGAAAGCGUGGGGAGCAAACAGG